AACGCGUAGAUAACCUGUCCAGGUGACCGGAAUAGCCCUUCGAAAGGGGGAUUAAUACCGGAUACGUCAGUCUUUUAUAAGAGAGAUUGAGAAAGGUGGCCUCUAUUUAUAAGCUAUCACAUUUGGAGGGGUCUGCGUACCAUUAGCUUGUUGGUGGGGUAAUGGCCUACCAAGGCAUCGAUGGUUAGCGGGUCUGAGAGGAUGAUCCGCCACACUGGCACUGAAACACGGGCCAG
rnacentral:rRNA from 1 species